rnacentral:rRNA from 1 species
GAAUAUUGGACAAUGGGCGAAAGCCUGAUCCAGCAAUGCCGCGUGAGCGAUGAAGGCCUUAGGGUUGUAAAGCUCUUUUACCCGGGAUGAUAAUGACAGUACCGGGAGAAUAAGCUCCGGCUAACUCCGUGCCAGCAGCCGCGGUAAUACGGAGGGAGCUAGCGUUGUUCGGAAUUACUGGGCGUAAAGCGCACGUAGGCGGCUUUCCAAGUCAGGGGUGAAAGCCCGGGGCUCAACCCCGGAAUAGCCCUUGAAACUGGAAGGCUAGAAUCACGGAGAGGUGGGUGGAAUUCCGAGUGUAGAGGUGAAAUUCGUAGAUAUUCGGAAGAACACCAGUGGCGAAGGCGACUUACUGGACGACUGUUGACGCUGAGGUGCGAAAGCGUGGGGAGCAAACAG